rnacentral:rRNA from 1 species
UGGGGAAUUUUGGACAAUGGCGGAAGCCUGAACCAGCCAUGCCGCGUGCAGGAUGACUGCCCUAUGGGUUGUAAACUGCUUUUGUCCAGGAAUAAACCUAGAUACGUGUAUCUAGCUGAAUGUACUGGAAGAAUAAGGAUCGGCUAACUCCGUGCCAGCAGCCGCGGUAAUACGGAGGAUCCGAGCGUUAUCCGGAUUUAUUGGGUUUAAAGGGUGCGUAGGCGGCCUAUUAAGUCAGGGGUGAAAUACGGUGGCUCAACCAUCGCAGUGCCUUUGAUACUGAUGGGCUUGAAUCCAUUUGAAGUGGGCGGAAUAAGACAAGUAGCGGUGAAAUGCAUAGAUAUGUCUUAGAACUCCGAUUGCGAAGGCAGCUCACUAAGCUGGUAUUGACGCUGAUGCACGAAAGCGUGGGGAUCGAACAGGAUUAGAUACCCUGGUAGUCCACGCCCUAAACGAUGAUAACUCGAUGUUGGCGAUAGACAGCCAGCGUCCAAGCGAAAGCGUUAAGUUAUCCACCUGGGGAGUACGCCCGCAAGGGUGAAACUUAAAUGAAUUGACGGGGUCAUAGCUG